AUGUGACAAGGCACCAGAGUUAAGUUACGGUUUUUCAAAAUGCUGACACAGCGAGCUCAAAAGGUUCGCUGUCACUGCAAUAGGCAGACACUGAUAUCACUCUUAAGCACAAUGGGAAUCAGCUGUGAUUGUGAUAUUCACAUAGAAAAAGGUGCCAGGCUCCCCAAGACAUUUUACUCCACCAGGACCCUAAAACACCCACAAAAUGUGCAAAAGCUCCCAGGUCUUUACCAGUGUUGUUAUUUCAAAAGAUGAAUAAACCUGAGCAUAUUAUUUUA